AUGAAGGGGAGAGAUGCAAAUAAGCAUUUAAUCAUAUAAAUUAGUAUUUUAUUUUAGUACUAUUUCACAAAUGUGCCCAUAUCCAUGUAAAAAUAGGUUACGUUCAGAAAACAAGUGAUCAGUGAGCGGUCAGUGAUUAUUGGUCCUUACUGUUAGAUCUCUAAAUUUAGACCAAUUAUAUUAGCGAAUUACUCACUGUUGUGCAAUGGUUGUGUUUUCUGAACGUAGCUAUAGACUCUAGACGAAUACCGUGGAUUAAAAUUGAAUAAUCGUUUUAAAAUUCGCGUUAAUAAUUAAUCUUGUGUCAUGCCGUAUGUAGCGUUGCGAUCGAAGACGAGUGUUCCUUCUGUGUGUAACAUAGUCUGUGACGUUUUUGCUCCAUGUGCUCCUGCUCCAUCUUCACAAUUCUUAUUUUUACUGUUCCCGGCCGUCUCUUUCCUUUCUGGUGCACGUGGUUGUCUUGCAAGUCUCAAGUGAAGCAGGAUCUUGAAAUUAAAGGUUUGCUAAAUCCAUGAAAUUCAUAAAAGCAACGAUUACAGACUGAUUAUCCUGCAGCGAGAGGACCAAAAGGACUCGCGCUCGCUACGUGCGAGCUAUUUCCACGUCAGCCCUUUCGCUCAGUCUCCUCGAAGGGAGAAAUCGUAACGCUUUAGGAUUGCGGUUCGCCUCGUUUGCGAAGCUGUACGUUGCUAACUGCACCGCUAACGAGAGUCGGACGGGAAUUGCAAUAGCCACGCGUCGCACUAUGACGUCUUCUCGCCGUUCGACUGAAUAAAGCCUGCGCUCUCGACUAUGUACGGCUUAUUAAUUUAACUUGUCGCGUUGCGAAGUACCUCGGCGAGGUCGCAACUGCUGAGGAAGCUGCACCGAUCGAUCGCUUGUAAACGUCUAUUAGCAUGUAAACGCCAUUCGUGAAUAGUAACUGCUGACUGUGCUCGGGAAUAUUUAAAUCUCUAAUAAGGAUAUCGCCAGCAUUAUUCAUUUACUAUUGAUUUGUAUCCAAGAUUAAUUGAAGACAUUUCUUGUAAUAACAAAAAAAUGUAAUAUAUUAAAAUAUAUUAAUAAUAUAUUAAUAACUUUCAUAGAAAGCUUACGUGACAACUUUAAACAUUUUUUUGCUAAAUCAAGAAAGAGAAACGUGGCGAGAACAUAGUGAAAUAAAAGCUUUCCAAUUGGGAUAAGACGCGAUGGAAGCCUUCGGCAAGUGCAACAGAGAUUUAAGUACAAGGUGAACAGAACAAAUGAGCCGCUUCGGGAUUUUCAUUCAGCCUUUGGCUGAUGGAAAUAUGCGAAAGAGGAAAGAAAGGCUCGGGGCGAUAUCCUUUGCAGCUUCUUCAGCUUCUUUAGGAUCCCUGAGAUUCGAUGAGAUAUACAGGAAUAAAACACAAGAAGUAGGACAUAACGUUAGCGGUAUCAUGAUAGAAUUAUAUUAUGCAUCAAAAAAUAAUGGUUGAUUUUAUGUUACGCGAUAAACUUUAAUAAACUUAAAUAUCUGUUGUAAAAUGAUAAUAAAUAUUAAAUGUAAUUAUUAAAUAUAUAUAUAUAUAUAUAUUACAAGACGAAAUAUAAAUUAAUAUUUAUAUGAUUUUAUAAGAUGAUAAGUAAAAUAAUUAAAUAUUAUGUCUGUGGUAAAAUUUUUGUAAGAAAAUAGUUCAAGUACGUUUAGACACUUUUGUAAUAAAUUUUGCUUUAUUAUCAUAAA